UUGCUACGGCAGCACAUAUAUUAAAAUUGGAAUGACACCGAGAAGAUUAGCAUGGCCCCUGUGCAAGGAUGACAUGCAAAAUCGUGAAGCAUUACUGUCAUUG